rnacentral:rRNA from 1 species
AUACGUAGGUGGCAAGCGUUGUCCGGAUUUAUUGGGCGUAAAGCGAGCGCAGGCGGUUUCUUAAGUCUGAUGUGAAAGCCCCCGGCUCAACCGGGGAGGGUCAUUGGAAACUGGGAGACUUGAGUGCAGAAGAGGAGAGUGGAAUUCCAUGUGUAGCGGUGAAAUGCGUAGAUAUAUGGAGGAACACCAGUGGCGAAGGCGACUCUCUGGUCUGUAACUGACGCUGAGGCUCGAAAGCGUGGGGAGCAAACAGGAUUAGAUACCCUGGUAGUCCACGCCGUAAACGAUGAGUGCUAAGUGUUGGAGGGUUUCCGCCCUUCAGUGCUGCAGCUAACGCAUUAAGCACUCCGCCUGGGGAGUACGACCGCAAGGUUGAAACUCAAAUGAAUUGGCGGGG